GUGAGGAAUAUUGGACAAUGGGCGCAAGCCUGAUCCAGCCAUGCCGCGUGCAGGAAGACGCAUCUAUGGUGUGUAAACUGCUUUUGUACGGGAAGAAACACUCCCUCGUGAGGGAGCUUGACGGUACCGUAAGAAUAAGGAUCGGCUAACUCCGUGCCAGCAGCCGCGGUAAUACGGAGGAUCCAAGCGUUAUCCGGAAUCAUUGGGUUUAAAGGGUCCGUAGGCGGUUUAAUAAGUCAGUGGUGAAAGCCCAUCGCUCAACGAUGGAACGGCCAUUGAUACUGUUAGACUUGAAUUACAAGGAAGUAACUAGAAUAUGUAGUGUAGCGGUGAAAUGCUUAGCUAUUACAUGGAAUACCAAUUGCGAAGGCAGGUUACUACUUGUGGAUUGACGCUGAUGGACGAAAGCGUGGGGAGCGAACAGGAUUAGAUACCCCGGUAGUCC
rnacentral:rRNA from 1 species